rnacentral:rRNA from 1 species
AGCGAACGCUGGCGGCAGGCUUAACACAUGCAAGUCGAGCGGGCGUAGCAAUACGUCAGCGGCAGACGGGUGAGUAACGCGUGGGAACGUACCUUUUGGUUCGGAACAACACAGGGAAACUUGUGCUAAUACCGGAUAAGCCCUUACGGGAAAGAUUUAUCGCCGAAAGAUCGGCCCGCGUCUGAUUAGCUAGUUGGUGAGGUAACGGCUCACCAAGGCGACGAUCAGUAGCUGGUCUGAGAGGAUGAUCAGCCACAUUGGGACUGAGACACGGCCCAAACUCCUACGGGAGGCAGCAGUGGGGAAUAUUGGACAAUGGGGGCAACCCUGAUCCAGCCAUGCCGCGUGAGUGAUGAAGGCCCUAGGGUUGUAAAGCUCUUUUGUGCGGGAAGAUAAUGACGGUACCGCAAGAAUAAGCCCCGGCUAACUUCGUG